rnacentral:misc_RNA from 1 species
GAAAUGCGAUACGUAGUGUGAAUUGCAGAAAUACGUGAACCAUCGAAUCUUUGAACGCAAAUUGCGCCCCUCGGUAUUCCGUGGGGCAUGCCUGUUCGAGCGUCAUCUACACCCUCAAGCUCUGCUUGGUGUUGGGCGUCUGUCCCGCCUCCGCGCGCGGACUCGCCCCAAAUGCAUUGGCAGCGGUUCCUUGCCCCCCUCUUUGCGCAGCACAUUGCCAUUCGAGGCGGCGGCGGCCCGCGUCCAACAAGCUCAACCCCCCCGUCUUUGACCUCGGAUCAGGUAGGGAUACCCGCUGAACUUAAGC